rnacentral:snRNA from 1 species
GUGCUCACUUUGGCAGUACAUAUACUAAAAAUUGGAACAAUAUGGAGAAGAGUAGCAUGGCCCCUGUGCAAGGAUGACAUGCAAAUUUGUGAAACGUUCCAUAUUUUU